GUGAAGGUCCCACCUAUGAGAAUUGUCCAGAAGCCAUAGUCACCCCUGCUGCUUCAGAGGAAGGAGAUUUAAAAAACCAACAACAACCCUCCAGCUGUCAGCUUGGUGUAACUCCACAAGGCCAAACACAGAGAUGUAGCUUGGAGUAAACAGGUGCAACUUCCAUGGAAGUCUCUGGACCAAAUUCAACAACAACAUCAGCAGUGGGGAAGGGACAAGUACCAGUGCCAAGUAGCAAGCAGCCAGCUAGCAUUGCAAUGUGUGUUUAGUGCAACAGUUCCCUAGACAAUCAGAUUACUCAAGGAUCCUCAGGGAACAAAGAGCAGUACUGGACAGUGUAUGCUCUUCAUUACUAGGUAGUAUGAAGAACUUCCUUGUCUCUUUCUUUCAUGUCAAUUUCUGAUAUUUCGCAAUAAACUUAGCAACCGCUUACACAUGACUACCAAUUACACCACACUAAAGUAAUG